CAUCGGUGACCUGGUGUCUUGCCCGAUCCCCGGGCAUGGCGUCAAUCCGAUCGUCACCGCCAGUCCGUACGU
rnacentral:sRNA from 1 species